UACUAGACUGAAGCUCCUUGAGGAC
rnacentral:miRNA from 1 species